UAGGGAAUAUUAGAAAUGGACGCAAGUCUGCUCUAGCAACACCGCGUGUGCGAAGAAGGCCUUCGGGUUGUAAAGCACUUUUUGGAAGGAUUAGGAAGGAAUGUACUUCCAGAAUAAGUCUCGGCUAACUACGUGCCAGCAGCCGCGGUAACACGUAGGAGGCAAACGUUAUCCGGAUUUACUGGGCGUAAAGCGCGUGUAGGUGGUUCUGUAAGUAGGGCGUGAAAGCUCCUGGCUCAACGGGGAGAGGGCGUUCUAAACUGCAGAGCUAGAGGAUGGUAGAGGGAGGUGGAAUUCCGGGUGUAGCGGUGGAAUGCGCAGAUAUCCGGAGGAACACCAGUGGCGAAAGCGGCCUCCUGGACCAUUCCUGACACUCAGACGCGAAAGCGAGGGUAGCAAACG
rnacentral:rRNA from 1 species